rnacentral:rRNA from 1 species
GACGAACGCUGGCGGCGUGCCUAAUACAUGCAAGUCGAACGAACGGAUAAAGAGCUUGCUCUUUUGAAGUUAGUGGCGGACGGGUGAGUAACACGUGGGUAACCUGCCUCACAGCUGGGGAUAACAUCGAGAAAUCGAUGCUAAUACCGAAUGUGCUGAACAUCAUAAGAUGUUCAAGUGAAAGACGGUUUCGGCUGUCACUGUGAGAUGGACCCGCGCUGGAUUAGCUAGUUGGUAAGGUAAUGGCUUACCAAGGCGACGAUCCAUAGCCGACCUGAGAGGUGAUCGGCCACAUUGGGACUGAGACACGGCCCAAACUCCUACGGGAGGCAGCAGUAGGGAAUCUUCGGCAAUGGACGAAAGUCUGACCGAGCAACGCCGCGUGAGCGAAGAAGGCCUUGGGUCGUAAAGCUCUGUUGUUAGAGAAGAAC